UACGAAGGGGGCUAGCGUUGCUCGGAAUCACUGGGCGUAAAGGGUGCGUAGGCGGGUCUUUAAGUCAGGGGUGAAAUCCUGGAGCUCAACUCCAGAACUGCCUUUGAUACUGGGAUUCUUGAGUUCGGGAGAGGUGAGCGGAACUGCGAGUGUAGAGGUGAAAUUCGUAGAUAUUCGCAAGAACACCAGUGGCGAAGGCGGCUCACUGGCCCGAUACUGACGCUGAGGCACGGAAAGCGUGGGUAGCAAACAGG
rnacentral:rRNA from 1 species